UUUUUUUCCCCCGAAUGACUGUUUCCUACAAGUUGAUUUGCUAGAGAGAUGAUAGGUUUUGCUUCAUGAUGUAGAUUUGCCUAUGCUGUGUUUUAAAAAAAAACGCAUGAAUGUAAAACAUUAGAAAAGAAAAAUUAUAGUUGCAUGUAAACUUUCGAUGAGAAAGAGGCAAAGAUCAUAUGGUAUAAUUAAUAAAAAUUUAACACACUGAGUAUAACAAAACAAAUACUAUGUAUUACUAAACCAUCCUUUAUGACAUAAAGUUGACCUCAUCUUAAAAGUAUAGAAAGAACUCUUUACCUGAAGAACUCUGCAAAAGUCCUCAAGGUUGUUAAAAGCAUUGGAAAUAGAAUUUCCGAUCUUUAAAAAUUAGGAACCGAGAAAUUGCGUCCACAAGGACGUUGAGCCUUUAGAGCAGUGGAUUGUAGCUGCCCAUGAGGGGCGCGGUGCAGUGAAUUUGCAUAAACUGUUAUAGAAAUGUUGGCAACAGAAGCGUCAAAUGGUUUAGAAUUUCUUGAAUUUGGGUGGCACAGUCAGUGAAUAUAUAACUGUCAAUCUGUUCAUACUAUUCCAUCUGAUUUUUAAUGUUUGGGAUGACCUUUGGAAUCAUUUUAUCUAGAUUUUUUUAACUUAUAUAUCUUUCAGUUUUUUGUUUUCAUUGUAAUAACAUAACAUUGUCUGCAUUUGCUAGGGGUUUCAAUAAACAGGAACGGUAGGUGGCAGUAUUGCUUCGAUCAUUAGGUUCUGUUGUUUUCUGUUUCCUUGAUGCAGUUGCCCUUCUCUUGAGGAACAACGUUGACAAAGGGGAGGCAUUAGAUAACUUGGAUAUCAUAUAUCAUAUUUGUUCCUUUAUUUGAAGGGUGAGUGGAUUCUAAAUAAUGACAAAUGGUUAUGGGAAGUUCUUUGUUAGGUCAUUAGAUUAGCCACCGCGAAGUUGGAAUCUGUUUCGCAUUUAGAUUGAGGCUAACCUGUAAUCUUUAUUUGCAGAAAUUUCUUUUGUUGAACAAAGAUGUAAAUGGAACUAGGAGCACUGGAAUAAUUGGUGAUAGAGGAUCCAGAGAAAGUCAGGUUUCAGUCAAUCACCCCAAUCUCCUUUUCAAGCACAGUUGCUGCCCUGUUUUGGCAUAAGUCGAGUGCAAUAGAGCCUAUACUUAAUAUCCAGGGAUUCAAGGGAGGUUCCAUUGAAAUCAAAAUUCCUCUGUCUCUUUCUGGAUAAAGGUCUUUGCUUCCUCAAACUAAG